GUGGGGAAUAUUGGACAAUGGGCGCAAGCCUGAUCCAGCCAUGCCGCGUGAGUGACGAAGGUCUUCGGGUUGUAAAGCUCUUUUGGCGGGGACGAUAAUGACGGUACCCGCAGAAUAAGCCCCGGCUAACUUCGUGCCAGCAGCCGCGGUAAUACGAAGGGGGCUAGCGGUUGUUCGGAAUUACUGGGCGUAAAGCGCACGUAGGCGGAUUUGCAAGUCAGGGGUGAAAUCCCGGGGCUCAACCUCGGAACUGCCUUUGAUACUGCCGAUCCUCGAGUCCGGAAGAGGUGAGUUGGAAUUCCUAGUGUAGAGGUGAAAUUCGUAGAUAUUAGGAAGAACACCAGUGGCGAGCCGGCUCAUUGUCCGGUACUUAAGC
rnacentral:rRNA from 1 species